UGGUUUAGAUGGUGAGCAACUGACUUGUAAUCAGUAGGUCCCGGGUUCGACUCCUGG
rnacentral:tRNA from 1 species